GUGAAACUAGGGGCCGGGGUGGGAGGAAAUCGGUAGGGGGCGAGGGUGUGCUGGAGUUAGUGGGCGUGAAAGGCGUGUAGGCGGCCAGACAGGUCCGUUGUGAAAACGCGAGGCUCAACCUCGAGACGCCGAUGGAAACCGUCUGGCUAGAGUCCGGAAGAGGAGAGUGGAAUUCCUGGUGUAGCGGUGAAAUGCGCAGAUAUCAGGAAGAACACCCGUGGCUAAGGCGGCUCUCUAGUACGGUACUGACGCUGAGACGCGAAAGCGUGGGGAGCGAACAGGAUUAGAUACCCGGUAGUC
rnacentral:rRNA from 1 species